rnacentral:rRNA from 1 species
UACGUAGGGUGCAAGCGUUAAUCGGAAUUACUGGGCGUAAAGCGUGCGCAGGCGGUUGUGCAAGACCAGGAUGUGAAAUCCCCGGGCUCAACCUGGGAACUGCAUUUGUGACUGCACGGCUGGAGUGCGGCAGAGGGGGGAUGGAAUUCCGCGUGUAGCAGUGAAAUGCGUAGAUAUGCGGAGGAACACCGAUGGCGAAGGCAAUCCCCUGGGCCUGCACUGACGUCAUGCACGAAAGCGUGGGGAGCGAACAGG